AGCACGCGGCUGCGUUAGAGGUGAAUCAGGCCCAGCUAGGCAGCUUCUUUGGGGAGAACACCCUAACUCUGGGUGAUAAAAGUUCUGAGCGUGCCUCUUUCAAAUGCCACUUCCCAGCUUGCCACCUUUAGGCAUUAUCUAGGAAUUCUCAGCAAGUCCUGCCCUGGGCUUAUCUCUGUCACAGUGAAUCAGAAAGAGACCAGAAGCCCCAGGAUGUGCCCCCUCUGUCACAUCGACAGAGCCUUGCACUGGCAGCCCUGCAAAGCUGUGAUUUCUGCAUGCUGCAAAAGCUAUUGCAGAGCAUCAGACACACCCAGAAUUCAGUUCCAAGAAUAUUCCAAAGGACAGCAUGCAAAGCUUCAGAAAGCCACCAUGAGACUUUUUCUGAAAAAGCUGAGGCUCUCAACGAGACCAGUGAUGGGGAGAAGUACUUUGCCAUCGACAAAGGAAGCUCCAAGAGACACGGAGUUGGUGAAUGCAAUGUGCACACACCAAAUGGAAGCAGCACCCACACCCAGGUCUCCCAGUUGCUAGCAGCACUCUCACAACAAGGUCAUCCUGUCCCCAUGAUCCCCACGAUGCCAGCAUGGCUCCUUCACUGCUGUUUUGUGUCCCAUCCCAACACAUCCUGGAGAUGGAGGCAGUGGCAUUGGGUAACCAACUCUACAAUGCUGUGGCAUAGGUCAAAAUGACCAUCUGGGGUGUGACAGCCACCUUGGCAUUGGCACUUUGCAUCCAGAGAGCACAGCAGGGACUCAGGCAGCCCAAGCACACAGCUACAAGGAGCCAAAGAAUGUAGAUGAAGAUUCAUAGCACAGAGAGUUGUGGUCCAACCUCCUUUACUGCUGCUGUGGAAGGGGGCAGCUACAGACAGGUUAGACACUGCAGAAGGGAGCAGACCCAUCAAGCAGCUCAGCUGAUGACAGUGACAUGUCCCAUUGCUUCCAUGGGGAGAGGCUGCUUUACAUCAGCUGGAGAUGUAGAUUGCUGCCACAUCAGUUGUUUUUUCUCUUACUUUGUCCUCCCCUGUGUGCCAAACCUGUUUAUUUAUAGCCCACAUUUCUUUUUCCCACCUGUCUUUAUGUUUAUUAGCCUUCCUUACAGAAUUAAGAGAAAGACAGAAGGAAAAAAAACAACUUUUACUCAAGUAAUUCCUGACCUAAAUGCAAAUCUGUUCAAGGAAAUUCAGAGAGCUUUGAUGCUGCAUGAGAAGAGAAAGGGAAGAGGAGCAGCCUCUGCUUCUAUCAGAACAGAUCUUUACUGCUGUGUAACAACCAGGCAAUGAAGCAAAAGCCAAGGGAGUUUAAAGAGGAAGCUCAGACAAAGGUCACCUGGCUGCCCCAGGUGCUUGUUAUCAGCACCUUGAAAAGAGGGAGGAAAGUGACAGGAGCUGACUACAGCAACAGCAGGAAACAGCUGACAGGGCUGGGGGAGCCCUCCCGUCAGCACUCGGCAUCCAGACGGUCUUUGCUGUUGUAAACCAGAGGGGCUGCAAAGCCUGGACUCUGCACUUGCUCAGGACACUAAGAGAAAAUAUUUCUGCUUCACAUUUGAAGUGUCUGCUAGGCAGAGAGUCAGAAAGCACCCUGUUAAUUGCAAUGCCCUGUUUUGUUUGCUGCCUAGUCUUUGCAGUGGAUUUGUACUACUCACUGCUCAUCCGUAUGGCUGAGGGGAAGGGUGACAAGGGGUGCAUGCAGAAGCACCAGAGGAAUACGCUGCUACUCCCUCUGUGGAGCUACACAGCUCUUAGCCAUCCGAGAGAGAGCAAGGAAAGGGAGCUCAUACAUGCCUGCAGUUUCCAGAACCAGCCGAAAGGAGGAGAAGGAUUCAGGAGUGAGAAAACCUCAAGCUGGAUCCAGCCAGAAUACCAUCAGCAACUUCUUGGCAUCUACAAGAUUGUCUCUGACCACUUACAUCGGUUCUAGUGUCUUAAACUACUAAAAGGUCUUAAAAUCUGUUACAGGAAUGUAGAUAGAACCUGGCUUUAAAAUGUCUCCAGCACAGGUGGCUCAGCUGUGCUGGUGUUGCUGACCAAGGGCAGGUGGCUGCUUUCAGUCCCUGAACUUUCUCUGCUGGUGUCUCUAGGGGUGAGUAGAGUUCAGGCUUUGCUGAACUCGCAAUUGCAUCAACCCACAGCCCAAAGUGCACAAAAACUGGUGCUAGGAAAAUGCUAGCUGAGUUCACAGGAGUGAAGCUGAAACCUUUGGGACAUGGAAUUCCUCACUCACGGGGCACACACCCAGCACCCACACCCAGCAGGGUUCAUUGGCACAGAGACCCUGGUGCUGGGGCUGGCCUGGCCAGGGCAGGUAACACUGCAUGGUCCAGCACCACCCACCUACAAAGCAGGUUGUUAUUACCAGGGCCAUGGAAGCAUGUUCCAGAAUUCACCUCUCCCCAUGGGGCUGCUUUCCAAACAACAUUGAUCACUGGGCUGAAUCACAUUUGGCCUUGACUUUUAAGCCUCUAAUCUUAUUGAACAGUUCUUUGUCCCAGAAUUUCACAAAUCCAGAUCCCCACUCUCUAGAUUAGAGGAGGGUAUCAGUCAGACCCUGCUGAAGAGUAUCAAGUGUCUGUGGAAAGUGUCACAUGGGAAAAACUGAAAGGAUGGAGACUCAGCCAUGCUGAGAGCAGAGUAGGCAGGGUGACAUCAACCUUCCUAGAGAAACUCCUACUGACAGGAGAGUUUGGUCAGCACAGGCAAGCACAGAACUGCCCAGUCCUUCUUCUAAAGCUCUGCACUCUCAGGAGCCUUGUAUCUCCUGAAGACCAAGAGCUGGCUUCUCUCCUCCCCGCACACCAUUCCUGCAUGUUGCAGAGGGGAACGGCAGGUAAGUGUGGCCAGAGCACACCACAGAACAGCCCCAAAUAUCUGUUACAUGUGCUUGCCUUGAAGGGAAUGAUGCAGCUGUUUGCAACAUGUCAGAGCAACCCUUGUUCCAAUGAGCAUAAACUCUAUGGCACCCACCUGAGCAUCUCCCCUGCAGCACUUUCCCCUCUGAACAGACUAGAAUUACUAAAGCUAGACAUUCCUGCUGUCAACUGAGCUGUCUGAGGGGUAGUGGCUCUUUGUAUUUCUAAGCCAGUUGAAGCAGGCAGAACUAGAUAGUGGUGGGCUCACUGCCCACCACCCAAACCAAUUUCUUCCUUGCACAGACCAUUUGCCCUUCCAAUAUCUUCUCCUCAGAGAGAGAAAGAAGAUCCUGGCUUCCUUUCUGCCCAGUGCCAACAGGAGCUCAGCCUUUGCUGCACCUCUUUGUGCUAGCAGGAUAUGGCCACAUUUGUGCUGGGACAUCUGUCUUGCUGAGGCCAGUAAAGGACAAGUGGGACAUUAAAGACACAGAACUAUACAGGAGACUUUUCCACUGGUCAAAUAGGACAGGACAACCAGAAAAGUUUAUUGUUCAAACAGUUUAUUAUCAAUUCUAUUAGGUUGUGGCUAUCAGACUUUCUAUCCAUACAGUGCUCCAGGAGGCUCUAGAAGGAUGGGAGCAGCUGCCAGUGGAGAUGGAUGGGCUUCAGCUGACACCUGCACGUCCCUCCACACUGACCAUCUGCACUUCUGGAGGGGCCUUUCAUCCAACCCUGCUGCACACAGGGCUCUCUGUUUGAGAGCAGCUCUCCUUUUGCACGUUCCCAGCAGCCAGGGAUGUGCUCUGUUGAAUCUGGGGUUAUAGUAGUAGAGGAUCUAAAACAAGGAGAAGAGUUACUUGCUACUAUUCCAAGACUGGAAAAACCCAAGCUACAAGAACUAGCUGAAUGGCAAAAGGGGAGCAUGGUUAAGGAAAAGGACUUUGAACUUAAACAUGGAACUUAAAGCUCAGGCUAAAGCAUUAUGUGGGUUGUGUUCAGCCAUCACAACUGAGGUUUUACCCUCCUGGGGGCUAAUGAAGAACAACUGUUUUCAAAAGCUAAACCUCACUAUUUCUCUGCAAGUUCAGAGCAGAUAGGAGCAGGCAGGUAAUCCCAUGAUCCUUGGAUGCAUCUGCUUGGCGUUGGGCAGGGAGCCACAGGGAGGCUCCAGAUUUGGUCCAGCAAGACACAGAGCAAAAACAUUCAGAGAAAUCAGAUUACACUGAGUCUGUCUGUCCCUUAAACAGGUUUAAACUCAGUAGCUCUCACUGAAAUAUAUCUCAUCUACAUUUCUACUAGUCAGAAAGACUCACUCAAAUCUGCUUGAACACAGGCUGAGAAAGGAAUGAAAACCAGACCACUCACUCCCAUCCCCACCUCCUCUAUGGCAAGGCCUUAUUUGCUGUGAAGGUCCCUCUUCCCCCCAGAUUAUCACAAGCAUUAGUAGCUGUGCAGAGCAGCUGCUGUACCUGGCUGUGAGCAGAAGUUGCUGCUUCCUCUGAUAGGAACUCAGGCAGAGAGGCAGAUCUUUGGAAAUCCCGCUGCACUUUGGUGAAUCCAUAGAGGUUCAGCUGGCGAAUAACACUCCUGAUGUGCUGCGUGUUAAAAACCCGCUGACAAACUCCCCUGCCCAGCACCUCCACUUCAAAGAGAUCUUUGUUGAUGGCCACACAUUUUCCACCCUCACUCCACCAAAUGGACUGAAACUGGUCACUUUCCAGCAUUUUCCAAAGCUUCUGUGGAAAGCAGAGGGGCAAAAAUCGCUUGUCUUUGCCUGUGCUCUCACUGGAAACAGCAGGAGCUCCUUUGGUCCAGUGUCUGUCACUGCCAGACCAGAUGUCCUGCUCAUCCUCCAUGGCUUGCAUGGCAGUGUCACAGGGUACAAUUCCCUCCCGUGCUGGAAGGCCAGGAGUAGCCAUGUCAGCCCACUGCCCCAGUGCACCUGGAGCAGAAAGGGGUGGUGUUUCUGGGGGAAUCAGCUUGCUUUUCUAUUCCCACAGGUGGACUGAGCCUUCCCUCAUUGGCCAUCACCCUGCACAGCCAUACCUCGUUCUCCCAGUCAGUGGGCAAAAGUCAACUGACCAUGGCUAGCUGUGGGUUCCAAUGGAAUGUUCUGGCAUACCACUGUGGUGCCUGUGCUGUGGGGACAUUGCAGGUGACAUCUCAGUGAUGGUUGGCACUGAUCUCACCACUGAUCUUAGUGCUGCCCUGGCAGGGGGAGCAGCCCGAGCAGAAACUGCUGAAGGGAAGGAACUUGGUGCUUCUCUGUCCCAGAGCCAGCGGUGGUGGCAGUCCAGAGCCCAGCAGUGUGCACAGAGCUGUCCUGAGGGGCUGUGGGCCGUGUCUGGCUGCGCCAGAGUGGAUCCUCAGGGAGAGCUGGCAUGGCUGCAGCCUUGGGCAUCCCCCAGGGCCCUGUGUGGGGAGCUUUCUGGCUGGGCUGACACCUCUGACACCUGCAGAAAUGUCCUUGUGGAUCUCAGGGAGAGAGAUCAGCCCAGGGGACCAGCCCAAGGGACUGCACUAGAAAAAGUGGGAAAGCCCAGCCCUGAUGCCAAAGGUGGAGGCCAGCCAGGGCCUGGCUGCUGGGUAGUGGUGACAGAGAUGAGGCAUUCCAGACAUUCUCCAGCACAGCUGGGAAGUGGGGGAGCAGCUGCUUGUCCAGGUGUACAGGGUCUGCAUAUGCAGGGACAUGUGUUAGGGAUUGGCUCUGUUACUUGGCAAGCACAGGCUUUCUGUGAGCAGACACCUGUGUGUCCUGUGCAGGAGCUGCUGUGAACACCUCCUCUCCGUGCCAGCAGCAGUUCCCUGGACAGCCCACAGAUCUUGGCAGCUUCCUGAGGGGCAGCUUUCCUCCAGCUCCUCAUCCAGGCACAGUGCAGCUGGGCUUCUUUUUUUGUGGCUCACUCUUGGCUUGUAGCCUUCCAGCACCUUGGGAUGGUCCAUCUUAAAGCUAGACUAUAACAGAAUCAUAGAAGCUAGAAAGUGCAGAGGAGGAGAGUUAGUUGAAAGCAGUUCAAGCCUGAAAAACAAAAAUACAUAAGAACUAAGACUUUAGUCUUGGCCAAAAUCCAAACCUGGGUAUUGAAGAAGGGGAGUUUGAAACCUCAAGCUUGGGCUGGCCCAGAUGUUACAAUAUGGUUCUACUAAGUGAUAAGCAGCCCUGGGUUUUUACCUGAGCAAGUCCACAGAGCUGUGCUGAAGGGCUGUGGGCAAGGAGAGGCCUGGGCCACGUUCAGCUGCACCCAGGAGUGGUUCCCCAAAGAGCAGCAGGGACAGCUGCAGCCUGGGACAUCCCAGUGUCCCGUUGGGAAACCUUUCCAGCUGCACCUUCUGACACCUGCAGAGACACCCUGACACUCUGCACCUUUUGAGAUUCACUGGAGAAACACCUUACAAAGCUCCUUGGUAACAAACCAGCCUUUCAAUUGGCUAUGGAAAGUUCUGCCAAGCAAGGGGAAAGGGUUUUCCUUGUGGAAACACAUUGCAGCAAGCCUUUGUGUGGAGUAAACAGUCUUCAUGCCAGCAGGAUCAAUACUAACAACCUGUCUUGGUACCCAGUUCUGAGCUGCUGCUUGUCUCUCUCUUGCAGCCCAGUGUGAGGCAGUUUGGCUGCACCAUUCUGUGCUCUCUGUGAGAGGGGAGGCUAUUUCUGAAGUGACAGAGACCCAGCAGACGGCUGAGAGCCCAGAACAACCCCUGAGCUCACCUUGUUAGCACUGCCAGGUUGCUGCUCUCUGACAAUCUGUUCUAAACACUGGCUAAGUUUGGAAACAGUGCUAAAAGCAGGCUUGUCAUGGUCGUGCCAAUGAAUGAAGAGCUUGUCAACAGAGGGAGAGUCACCAGCAGCACAAGGGAGAAGUAUAAACAUGACUAUAUUUCCUCUACAGAAUGGUUUAUAUCUAGCUGUGAAUCUUUCAAGCUGCUGCAACAGAGCUUGAAUAUUGUAUUAAGGGCUGGAAAAUUGGAGGGUCAGAGGAUAUUUCACUGUCUAGCUCCAGUCUUGCAAAUGGAUGUGAAUCCUCCAUUCAAAACAGAUUCAACAAGCCAGUUCCUAACAGGUUCUGACCCUUAUAAAGUGUCCAUAUUCAGCUUUUGACUUCAUUUAUCUCCAGAAAAUCCUCAGCAAUUUAGGCUUACUCCAAUGGCCAAGCUCACCACACAUUCACAGAAGACAAGGAACAGCAACAUGCAGUUUCUGGCAGCAGGGCAAACCCUCUGGGGUAAAGAGCCAGCAUCCAGUGAUCACAGCACCACCUCUCCCAACUCAGCCUUAAGGAAGUAAGUUGUUGUGUUUUUUCCUGUGAAAGCAGAAAGGUGAAGAAAGAUGCUGGUUCUCACAGGAAGAUGGAUAAGGCAAAAAAAAAGGGAGGUGCUACAGCUGCAGUGAGUUUGGGGUGUGCUGCUUUGAGUUAUCCUGAGGUAUAGGAAAAGCCUGUAGGUGUAGGAGUCUCCUGCAACACCUCAGGCCUUCUCAGAAGAAUUUAUUUCCUACUGCAAGUCACCCAGAAAUGCAUUUCUUGGUCUGACUUACUCCUUCUUGGACACCAGGCACAUUCCUCUGCCCCUGCCUUUCAGCUCAAUGCCAGGCCUGCAGUGUGUCUGAUAGAUAAACCAACCUGGCAAAACCAAGCACAUUCUUGUCUAGCACCAUACCUUGACCCACUGAUGAGUUCUUUUUUCAUCAUUUCCUGGAGAUGUGGGAAACAGCUGGAGCCAGAAUUCAUGAGAGGAAGCAAUAGAAUUUCAGGCAUUUCAAAAAUAGAAAGAUCAGAAAGGUUAGGCUUGAACCAAGUGAGGCAGACAAAGCCUAUAACCCCUGCCAGGAGGAUGAGCAAUGCAAACAGUGGAUGCCUGUAUCUGGAGGAGAGAUUCUCCCCAGUUACAGCAGAGGAAUAUGUUUUAAGUAGCUGGCUUUUGGUCUCUGUUUUGUUUACUCUUCCAAAGACAAAACCAAAAGUGACGCCAUACUCUACUUUAUUAAGUGCAGAAGGAAGCAUCUGGGAAGGGCAGCAAAACAUUACAAAGUCCAGACCAGCCUAAACAGAGACACCCACAAACCCUCCUGAGUCUGCUGAGUAUGUAGAUAUUUAUCAAGUACAGCCUGCUACACAGCUGAACAGAAAACACCUGCUGGGCUUCAGGAUGCUCCAAGCAGCCAGGAGGAGAGCAGGGGGAAUAUCACACUCAGCUGCUCCCCAGGGGUUGCUUGGUCCCUUGAAUAACCACCACUGCACAGAAGGACCAGAGCUCAGCUGCUGGGAGCAGACCCCACAGCCAUAGCUGUGCUCAUGCUGGCUCCAGUUCAAGGGCUGUAUGGCCACUGCCCACUUGUCAAGCUCCUGGCAACUUCCAGCCUGUGCCAAGUAGAAGCUGAGGAGCAGAAUGAGGAAGUGAUCCACUGAAACUUGUUCUGUGUGAGGGACUUCCCCAGAGCACAGCACGAGAAAGGCAUUGCCUGCCCAGGAAAGUGCCACACUAAAGCUGGAGAAUGGCCAAGCUCUUGUUCAAGCUGGCUGAUUUGAUCACAGAAGCCAAUACCUCUGCCAAAUGCAGGCACUGGCUGAAUACUGUUAUAAUUAGAGGUGAAGUGCUAGACCUGUUGUUUCUAAUUCCUGUUAUUUUUAUUAUUUUCAGUAAUUUGUGUUAACCUGAAGUAUUUUCAGUAUUUUGUGUUAACUGAAGAGACAUGGUGUCUAUUUUCAGGGGGUAGGAGAACUUCAUGCUAAGAACAUCCAGUUUUCUUUUCCUACUUAAGCAGAGUGGUCCAAACCUAGUGGUGCAAGCCUAGGUGCACCAAAAAGGUCCUAAGGCAAAGGGGAAGUACUUCACUUGCCAAAUCAACUUAUUGAACAAUUAGUUUUAGCAGUAUUUAGUUCUGUCAAAUUACCCCAAAGGUAAUUAUUCUAAUCAGCAAAUAUUUAUUAGAAAUUGCAGAGGUACAGUAAAGGACAGCAGAGAAAGGAAUCAGCUAUUUCAUCUGCAGCUGUCCUGACCUUCAGGGAAAAAUCUCUCUAGCACAACAUGGUUGCCAUAAAUACUUCCACCAUGACAAAAGAUGUCAGAAAUGCAGGCUGUUGACAUUACAGGAUACUCAGCCAAAGCAAAACCGUAUGGCUUUCAAACUGAGAGUUUAAAGACCAGCAAGUUUCAUGACAGUGUGAUAUGCUAUCCUAGAGUUCAGAGGGCAGGAAAGUGCAGCUGAUAUUGAACACAAAUAUACUAUUUUCUUUUACAGAAGUUCGUUUCCAAAGGACACAGAACUGUUUAACUCAUUGCCAAGUUUCAGCUCAAAACUAAGCAUGUUUGUCUUGAAGGUCUCUUCCAACCUAGUGAUUCUGUGAAGUUCAUAAAAGUUCAUCAAGGCAGAGUUCACCAGAAGUUUUAUUCUUUUAAUGAUUAACAAUUUUUUUUUUAAAUCCUGGUUCAUAUCCUCUGGCUCAGGGUAUUGCCAGGAGCACAGUGCACACCAGCAUCUUCAUUUUGAGUCAGCAGCUAGCUGGAUGGACAUUUGCUCUGACUCACUGGACUCAUACAGACAGCCAAGACUGAAGUAUUCAAGUCUCAGUGUUGUUUGUGCAAAACAAAGCCUCAUUUGGCAGUGUGGGAUGUCACAGGCUCAUUUCUCAGUGUCUUCUCAGAGUGUUCAGUUCCUCCUUCUGUCUCUUGUGAGCCUGAAAAGACAGACCACCAUCCCCAAGGAGGGCAGACACAGGGUUGCUCUGCUUCUUGUUUGUAAAGUAUUACAACACUGUGCAAGCAAAUGGUCUAACCUCACAUGAAAAGACAUCUUAGAUAAAUCCUUUGCAUGGAAUUAAUCACACUGGUGUUGCAAUCAUGGGUGUCAUGGAUAAAAAUGACCCAAAGAAGAGGAGGAUGACAAUUUUCCAUCAGCGCUUAUUUACUCUAAUUAUAAACAGAGAUUCCCAGCUCUCUUAAGCUAGGCCAAACAACUAGCACCUACCUGUGGCCUGUUAUCUUAGCUGAGGACUAUGCUAGAGCAGAUUUCCUGCCACAUAUCUGGAGAGGGCUGCCUUGAUCUUACAAGGUCAACAGCAGAAGCAUCAUUUUAUUGUUACUGCUCAAUAUACAUUUCUUGCAGUUACAGAAACAUUUCCUUGCUACUAUAAAGAGGUGCCCUCAUAUCACAUCCAGAUGUCAUAAUUAUAAGGUAAAUGUUCCUGGUGCCAACCCCACUAUAAGCUCUUAUACCUUGUUCAGUGUGGUACAAAACUCUGCCCCUGAGCUGAGCUGUGGUCUCUGCUGUGCUGGUGAAGCCAGCAUUCACAAUGGGGUUCUGGGCUUAGAUUGUGGAGAGGAAGCUUUAACACCAAAAAAUAAAAUGAGUAACUACAUUAAA